UUAAAAACUCUAUUCAAUUUUAGAAUAGUGGUGUGGGGUUGCCAGGUUUAGAAGCUCGAGUCAUCGCUUUUUUAUCCUACGAACCCUGGAAAAGAAUUCCAAAAUAAUUCAGGAAAAUACAAAUCCUUUGUAGACGACUUAAAUACGAACGGGGAAUUGUAAGAGGUUGAGUAACCUUGUUGUUACGAUCCUCUGAGAUUAAGCCCUUUU
rnacentral:rRNA from 13 species